rnacentral:misc_RNA from 1 species
GAAAUGUGAUACGUAAUGUGAAUUGCAGAAUUCAGUGAAUCAUCGAAUCUUUGAACGCACAUUGCGCCCCUUGGUAUUCCGAGGGGCAUGUCUGUCUGAGCGUCAUGUUCGCCCCUCAAGAUCCAGCUUGUCUGGCCUUGGUUCUGAGCUCUGGAAGAAGUACCGGCCAGGCUUUAAAUCCAUGUUGCGGGCUGUCGCCUCCAUCAAAACGUAGUAAGAAAUCUAUCGUCUUGUGGUUGGCAAGCAAGCUCAGCCUAAACCAAGCCCUAGUCAUCAACCGACUAUGUUGUUUGACCUCAGGUCAGGCGGGGCUACCCGCUGAGUUUAA